UCUUCAUUUCACACACUCUCUCGCCGGUCGCAGAGACGAGAGAGCAUGCGAAAUGAAGAGA
rfam:Pristionchus pacificus strain PS312 contig5080, whole genome shotgun sequence.